AAAUUUAGGCUAAUCUAAACCAAGGACCUUCAAAGCCCUAAAUACGAAUAUUAAACCUCGUAAUUUCUG
rnacentral:tRNA from 1 species